ensembl:misc_RNA Metazoa_SRP Metazoan signal recognition particle RNA
GCUGGGCACAGUGGCUUGUGCCUGUAAUUCCAGCUACCUGGGAGGCUGAGGCAGGAGGAUCACUUGAGACCAGGAGUUCAAAGUUGCAGUGAGCUAUGACCAUGCCACUGCAUUCCAGCCUGGGCAACAGGGCAAGACCCUGUCUCAU